AGUAGUCAUAUGCUUGUCUCAAAGAUUAAGCCAUGCAUGUCUCAGUGCAAGCCACAUUAAGGUGAAACCGCGAAUGGCUCAUUAAAUCAGUUAUGGUUCCUUGGAUCCUACCUAUCCUACUUGGAUAACUGUGGUAAUUCUAGAGCUAAUACAUGCACCCAGAGCUCCGUCCAGAAAUGGCCGGGGCGCAGUUAUUAGAUCAAAACCAAUCGGUCGGGUCCGCCCGUCCGUAGUUUUGGUGACUCUGAAUAACCACCGCUGAUCGCACGGCCUCGCGCCGGCGACGUAUCCUUCGAAUGUCUGCCUUAUCAACUGUCGAUGGUAGGUUCUGCGCCUACCAUGGUUGUAACGGGUAACGGGGAAUCAGGGUUCGAUUCCGGAGAGGGAGCCUGAGAAACGGCUACCACAUCCAAGGAAGGCAGCAGGCGCGCAAAUUACCCACUCCCGGCACGGGGAGGUAGUGACGAAAAAUAACGAUACGGGACUCAUCCGAGGCCCCGUAAUCGGAAUGAGAACACUUUAAAUCUUUUAACGAGUACCUAAUGGAGGGCAAGUCUGGUGCCAGCAGCCGCGGUAAUUCCAGCUCCAUUGGCGUAUAUUAA
rnacentral:rRNA from 1 species